CCUCUCUCUCUCAGUUCUACAACUUUUAUCCUCUCUCUCUCUCUCAGUUCUCACAACUUUUAUCCUCUCUCAUUUCUCUCAACUUUUAUCCUCUCUCUCUCAACUUUUAUCCUCUCUCUCUCAGUUCUACAACUUUUAUACUCUCUCUCUCAACUUUUAUCCUCUCUCUCUCUCAGUUCCCACACUUUAUCCUCUCUCAGUUCUCACAACUUUUAUCCUCUCUCUCUCUCUCUCUCUCUCUCUCUCUCUCUCUCUCUCUCUCUCUCUCUCUCUCUCUCUCUCUCUCCCCCUCUGCAAGGAAGAGAAGGUGGUCCUUUGCUUGCUUGCAAGGAGCACUUUGCUAAAGUGACAUCUUUCCUUUGUUUGCCCAUAAAAGAGAAACCUUCACAGGAAGCAAGAAAAGCCUUCCUUCUCCUCUGGACCAAGGGAAACUUAGACAGCAAUUCCAAGAUUCCAUCUCACAGCAAUCAGAUUGGCAAAGAUGUCAAAAAAGAAAAAUGAAGGAGCUUAAGGAAGACAGACUUCUGGGAAAACUGAUCCAUCCAUGAAAACAACUAAACUCAAUGUUCCAGAGGCCUGAUAUUUGGGGCUCUUCCAUCUCCCCAAGCCUGAGACUGAUGUGAGGAAGUCAGAAGACAGUCUCUAUUGAUCUGAUACUCCUUUUUCUUUUUACAUUGGCACCCUCUGACCUCGAUCAGCUUUCACCACCCCCAGAUCCACCAUCUUCUGCCAUUUAACACCAGUAAUUUAGAAGGCAGUAAAGAGUAAAAGAAAUCAUUUCCCCCUGGAAUCAGAAAAAUUUGGACCCUGGUCCUGGCACUGCCAAUUAAAAGUCAAUAAAG
rnacentral:lncRNA from 1 species